CAGUCGCCGCGGUAAUACAGAGGGUGCAAGCGUUAAUCGGAAUUACUGGGCGUAAAGCGCACGCAGGCGGUCUGACAAGUCAGAUGUGAAAUCCCCGGGCUUAACCUGGGAACUGCAUUUGAAACUGUCAGGCUGGAGUCUUGUAGAGGGGGGUAGAAUUCCAGGUGUAGCGGUGAAAUGCGUAGAGAUCUGGAGGAAUACCGGUGGCGAAGGCGGCCCCCUGGACAAAGACUGACGCUCAGGUGCGAAAGCGUGGGGAGCAAACAGGAUUAGAUACCCCGGUAGUCCCUGUCUCUUAUAC
rnacentral:rRNA from 1 species